UAACAUUCGGUUGGAACCGAGAUGACCG
rnacentral:sRNA from 1 species